rnacentral:rRNA from 1 species
UACGUAGGUGGCAAGCGUUGUCCGGAUUUAUUGGGUUUAAAGGGUGCGUAGGCGGCCCUGUAAGUCAGUGCUGAAAUAUCCCAGCUUAACUGGGAGGGUGGCAUUGAUACUGCGGGGCUAGAGUACAGAUGAGGUAGGCGGAAUUGACGGUGUAGCGGUGAAAUGCUUAGAUAUCGUCAAGAACACCUAUAGCGAAGGCAGCUUCCUAGGCUGUAACUGACGCUGAGGCACGAAAGUGUGGGGAGCAAACAGG